rnacentral:rRNA from 1 species
GGUGAACGCUGGUGGCGUGCUUAAGACAUGCAAGUCGAACGGCAGUCUUCGGACUGUAGUGGCGCACGGGUGAGUAACGCGUAACUGACCUACCCCAAAGUCGCGGAUACCGAUUCGAAAGAAUCGCUAAUACGUGAUGUGCUGUCAGAUUGUGUUCUGCCAGUAAAGAUUGAUUGCUUUGGGAUGGGGUUGCGUUCCAUCAGCUAGUUGGUGGGAUAAAGGCCCACCAAGGCGACGACGGAUAGCCGGCCUGAGGGGGUGGCCGGCCACAGGGGCACUGAGACACGGGUCCCACUCCUACGGGAGGCAGCAGUUAGGAAUCUUCCACAAUGGGCGAAAGCCUGAUGGAGCGACGCCGCGUGAGGGAUGAAGGUCUUCGGAUCGUAAACCUCUGAAUCAGGGACGAAAGACACUUCGGUGGGAUGACGGUACCUGAGUAAUAGCACCGGCUAACUCCGUGCCAGCCGCCGCCGUAAUAC